rnacentral:rRNA from 1 species
GUACUGCGAAACUGCGAAUGGCUCAUUAAAUCAGUUAUCGUCUAUUUGAUAGUACCUUACUACUUGGAUAACCGUGGUAAUUCUAGAGCUAAUACAUGCUGCAAAGCCCGACUUCGGAAGGGUUGUAUUUAUUAGAUUAAAAACCAAUGCCCUCCGGGGCUCACUGGUGAUUCAUGAUAACUUCUCGAAUCGCACGGCCUUGCGCCGGCGAUGGUUCAUUCAAAUUUCUGCCCUAUCAACUUUCGACGGCUGGGUAUUGGCCAGCCGUGGUGACAACGGGUAACGGAGGGUUAGGGCUCGACCCCGGAGAAGGAGCCUGAGAAACGGCUACUACAUCCAAGGAAGGCAGCAGGCGCGCAAAUUACCCAAUCCCGACACGGGGAGGUAGUGACAAUAAAUACUGAUACAGGGCUCUUUUGGGUCUUGUAAUUGGAAUGAGUACAAUUUAAUUCCCUUAACGAGGAACAAUUGGAGGGCAAGUCUGGUGCCAGCAGCCGCGGUAAUUCCAGCUCCAAUAGCGUAUAUUAAAGUUGUUGCAGUUAAAAAGCUCGUAGUUGAACCUUGGGCCUGGCUGGCCGGUCCGCCUCACCGCGUGCACUGGUCCGGCCGGGCCUUUCCCUCUGGGGAGCCGCAUGUCCUUUACUGGGCGUGCCGGGGAACCAGGACGUUUACUUUGAAAAAAUUAGAGUGUUCAAAGCAGGCUUAUGCUCGAAUACAUUAGCAUGGAAUAAUGGAAUAGGACGCGUGGUUCUAUUUUGUUGGUUUCUAGGACCGCCGUAAUGAUUAAUAGGGACAGUCGGGGGCAUCAGUAUUCAGCUGUCAGAGGUGAAAUUCUUGGAUUUGCUGAAGACUAACUACUGCGAAAGCAUUUGCCAAGGAUGUUUUCAUUAAUCAGGAACGAAAGUUAGGGGAUCGAAGACGAUCAGAUACCGUCGUAGUCUUAACCAUAAACUAUGCCGACUAGGGAUCGGACGGUGUUAUUCUUUGACCCGUUCGGCACCUUACACGAAAGUACAAGUUUNUGGG